UACGUAGGGGGCUAGCGUUGUCCGGAAUCAUUGGGCGUAAAGAGCUCGUAGGCGGCCGUUCGCGUCGGAUGUGAAAGCUCAGGGCUCAACUCUGAGAUGCCAUUCGAUACGGGACGGCUAGAGGUAGGUAGGGGAGAGUGGAAUUUCUGGUGUAGCGGUGAAAUGCGCAGAUAUCAGGAGGAACACCGGUGGCGAAGGCAGGUCUCUGGGCCACUACUGACGCUGAGAAGCGAAAGCGUGGGGAGCGAACAGG
rnacentral:rRNA from 1 species